rnacentral:rRNA from 1 species
GAUGAACGCUGGCGGCGUGCCUAAUACAUGCAAGUCGAGCGAACAGACCAGGAGUUUGCUCCUCUGACGUUAGCGGCGGACGGGUUAGUAACACGUGGAUAACCUACCUAUAAGACUGGGAUAAUUUCGGGAAACCGGCGCUAAUACCGGAUAAUAUAUCGAACAGCAUGGUGCAAUAGUGAAAGACGGUUUUGCUGUCACUUAUAGAUGGCUCCGCCCCGCAUUAGUUAGUUGGUAAGGUAACGGCUUACCAAGGCAACGAUGCGUAGCCGACCUCAGAGGGUGAUCGGCCACACUGGAACUGAGAAACGGUCCAGACUCCUACGGGAGGCAGCAGUAGGGAAUCUUCCGCAAGGGGCGAAAGGCUGACGGAGCAACGCCGCGUGAAUGAUGAAGGUCUUCGGAUCGUAAAACUCUGUUAUUAGGGAAGAACAAAUGUGUAAGUAACUAUGCACGUCUUGACGGUACCAGAACAGAAAGCCACGGCUAACUACGUG